rnacentral:rRNA from 1 species
UUGACCUCGGAUCAGGUAGGACUACCCGCUGAACU